rnacentral:rRNA from 1 species
CUUUGCUUAGAUUCUUCGGAUGAAGAGGAUUGUGACUGAGCGGCGGACGGGUGAGUAACGCGUGGGUAACCUGCCUCAUACAGGGGGAUAACAGUUAGAAAUGACUGCUAAUACCGCAUAAGACCACAGCACCGCAUGGUGCGGGGGUAAAAACUCCGGUGGUAUGAGAUGGACCCGCGUCUGAUUAGCUAGUUGGUAAGGUAACGGCUUACCAAGGCGACGAUCAGUAGCCGACCUGAGAGGGUGACCGGCCACAUUGGGACUGAGACACGGCCCAAACUCCUACGGGAGGCAGCAGUGGGGAAUAUUGCACAAUGGGGGAAACCCUGAUGCAGCGACGCCGCGUGAGUGAAGAAGUAUUUCGGUAUGUAAAGCUCUAUCAGCAGGGAAGAAAAUGACGGUACCUGACUAAGAGGCCCCGGCUAACUACGUGCCAGCAGCCGCGGUAAUACGUAGGGGGCAAGCGUUAUCCGGAUUUACUGGGUGUAAAGGGAGCGUAGACGGUAAAGCAAGUCUGAAGUGAAAGCCCGCGGCUCAACUGCGGGACUGCUUUGGAAACUGUUUAACUGGAGUGUCGGAGAGGUAAGUGGAAUUCCUAGUGUAGCGGUGAAAUGCGUAGAUAUUAGGAGGAACACCAGUGGCGAAGGCGACUUACUGGACGAUAACUGACGUUG